GUUCUCUCUGAGGUAAUUGCACAUGAAACAAAUGCUACAUAUGAGCUGUAUAAUUUUCUCCAAGUGUACAAACUACUAACUGGUUUUGUUUUUACAGAUGCCAAGAAGCGUCACCUCAUGCCCUUAAGGAAGACGAAGAAGAGCAAUCGCACAUCUGCUUGACCUGAGGAUUUUGAGAGGAGGCGACAGGACGCCAGACGACAUGAGGACAAACAACAUACUAGUCUUAGAGUCUUACGGCAGACGGCACCUGGACUCGAACCCUGACGGUGGACCGACUGGAGGGGCGAGUCCCAGCAAGGCCCACUUUGUCUUGAGCAAGGAGAACUCCAGCGUAUCGGUCAUGCCGCGGUGUUGUGUUUGCAACACCCCCGGUAGUCGCCCUUCAGCCGCACGCCGCUGCAAAGCCACAUGAAGUCCCACGUCCGCGAACCCCUCAGGACCUCCUGGACCGAUGCCAUCUGCCCGUGCGAUAGAUGAGCCGGAAAUGCACGAGGUUCUCCAGCUUCUCUCUACAUUUCCAAAACAUGCGGUUUAUGACGCCAUUUUGGAUACGACCCCUAGCACUGGCCGCACCACAUUUUACGUAUGGUAAACGUCGUCUUCUCUGUUAUUAGCUUGUGUCAAAUAAUAUCAAUACAGAUUUCCAAGCGCACACAUGCUCACUUUUUCUAAUGUACUUUGAGGGCGGAGAUGAAGAUGAAGAUUGAAUUCCUCCCGCCCGAACUCGAUAGUCAACAUAAAAGAUCAGCGGCAUUCUCACGGCGCGCGUGGAUGGGGGGGGGCCGCCAAGAGGAUAUUACAAAAGCGAGGGCGGCAUAUUUAAUUCGCCGGCGGUCCAGAAUAUCUCCAUGUGCUUACAAACAAUAUCCGCGUGGGCGCCAAAUACGUGAAAGAGCUUAAUAUGAGAGCAGAUAGCCAAAUCAAGUCCUGCGCGGGGCUCAAUGGAAGCCAAUAAACAAGAGGGCCACUCCCCCCGUCCCCCCCACCCUGACCCUCACUUCUGGCUUGGAGAUCGGGGACGAUAUGCAGGCGCAACCUCA